rnacentral:rRNA from 1 species
UACAGGGGGGGCAAGCGUUGUUCGGAAUUACUGGGCGUAAAGGGCGUGUAGGCGGUUUGUUAAGUCUGGCGUGAAAGCUCUCGGCUAAACCGGGAGAGGUCGUUGGAUACUGGCAAACUAGAGGAUGGUAGAGGCGUGUGGAAUUCCGGGUGUAGUGGUGAAAUGCGUAGAGAUCCGGAGGAACACCAGUGGCGAAGGCGACACGCUGGGCCAUACCUGACGCUAAAGCGCGACAGCAUGGGGAGCAAACGGGG